rnacentral:ncRNA from 1 species
UUAAUUUGACUCAACACGGGGAAACUUACUAGGUCCAGACAUAGUAAGGAUUGACAGACUGAGAGCUCUUUCUAUUUUUUUGAUUGAAGAUGUAAAUAGUAUAAAUCAAAAAAAGUCGUAGACA